GUAGGGUGCGAGCGUUAAUCGGAAUUACUGGGCGUAAAGCGUGCGCAGGCGGUUUGACAAGUCUGAUGUGAAAGCCCCGGGCUCAACCUGGGAACUGCGUUGGAAACUGUCAGGCUAGAGUGUAGCAGAGGGGGGUAGAAUUCCACGUGUAGCAGUGAAAUGCGUAGAGAUGUGGAGGAAUACCGAUGGCGAAGGCAGCCCCCUGGGUUAACACUGACGCUCAUGCACGAAAGCGUGGGGAGCAAACAGGAUUAGAUACCCUGGUAGUCCACGCCCUAAACGAUGUCUACUAGUUGUUGGGAGAGUAAAAUCUCUUAGUAACGCAGCUAACGCGUGAAGUAGACCGCCUGGGGAGUACGGUCGCAAGAUUAAA
rnacentral:rRNA from 1 species